AUUGAACGCUGGCGGCAGGCUUAACACAUGCAAGUCGAGCGGGGGAAGGUAGCUUGCUACCGGACCUAGCGGCGGACGGGUGAGUAAUGCUUAGGAAUCUGCCUAUUAGUGGGGGACAACAUCUCGAAAGGGAUGCUAAUACCGCAUACGUCCUACGGGAGAAAGCAGGGGAUCUUCGGACCUUGCGCUAAUAGAUGAGCCUAAGUCGGAUUAGCUAGUUGGUGAGGUAAAGGCCUACCAAGGCGACGAUCUGUAGCGGGUCUGAGAGGAUGGGCCGCCACACUGGGACGGAGACACGGCCCAGACUCCUACGGGAGGCAGCAGUGGGGAAUAUUGGACAAUGGGGGGAACCCUGAUCCAGCCAUGCCGCGUGUGUGAAGAAGGCCUUAUGGUUGUAAAGCACUUUAAGCGAGGAGGAGGCUCUUUUGGUUAAUACCCAAGAUGAGUGGACGUUACUCGCAGAAUAAGCACCGGCUAACUCUGUGCCAGCAGCCGCGGUAA
rnacentral:rRNA from 1 species